UUUUCCGUAAAGUGAGAGCCGACAGAAAGCAAGCCGAAACCUGGCAGACUUUGGAUUACUGUAUCUAAAAGCAAACCGAUUCUUGAUCUAUAAAUACAUUUUGGAGGUUCUUGUGUCGAAUUCAAUCAUGGCUAGCUCUUCCUUGGUGGUCAGAACUUCUGUUCCAAAGGAAAUAAUGAGAGGGCAAAUUAGUGAAGUACUGAUUAGAAGUUGUAGCGGUCCUGUGGUGAGCAGAUGUGUGGCUCCUUGGUUGAUGCUACUGCCGGAGUUUAAGGAGGACAGCACCGUCUUCAAAUUCUACAGACUGGCAGAAGGGGAUGUCAUACAAGUACAACAUGAGCAGCAAGUGAUGAUGCCUGAUAUUGAUUCCGUUUGCUUGGGUUCAUUAUCCAAGGGAUGGCUUGUUUGUAUACAGCCUAAAGAUUGUCUUCUCUUCAUGUUUAACCCACUUUCUGGUAAGACUAUCCAGCUUCCAUCCAUUGAAACUUUCCCCUGUGUUAACGGCGUUAUUCGGAACAGUGUCAGAGUCGAAUGCUUUCUUAACCACCAAUCUAUUCCCUUAACCCCACAACGUAUGUCUUCAUACAUUGUCGAAAAGAUGAUCCUUUCAUCCCCUGAUCCUAUGGAAGAGGACUGCAUAGCGUUGGUCAUUUACGGGCCCCACCAGCGACUCGCAUUCUGCAGGAGGCCUGGCAUAGCUGAAGCCAAUUCGUGGACUGCACUCGACGGUCCCUUACGCGAGUACACUCAAAUUGUGUUCCACAGUGGAAAGAAACUAUUUUUUGCUCUCACCCAAGAUAAGGAGCUUGAAGCUUGGGAUCUCCACAAUGAUCCAACUAAGAGGUUUCUCAUCCAGAUUGAAGAUAUAGGCUGCAGUGAUGAUUGGCCCUCUUCUGCUGCGGAUGAUACUGAGCUAGAGUGCAAGUCAUGCUACUGUUGGGACACUGAUUACUUGGUAUAUGACCACCAAAGCCAGGAGCUUUUUGUUGUUACACGCUACAUAGCACAUGGCAUUGCCCAAGAUGGGACUCUGAUAUUGCCUGUGGAGAACGCUGAGCGCGAAUAUCCCUAUAAGACUCAAACUUUUGAUGUUUUCAAGCUUGAUUUUAUAGACCAUGAUCGUGUGGAGCUUCAAUACUUGCCAGGCAGCCUUGGCAAUCGUGCAUUCUUCAUUGGUUCCAAUCCCGGCUUUGCUCUCUCGACCACCAUGUUCCCGGAAUUGAGGCCCAAUUCUAUUUACUUUACAGAUGAUCUAACCUAUGCUUACAUAUUUAGGGAAGAGCCUAAUUGUGGAGGUCAUGAUUUGGGGAUUUAUGACUGUAAAGAAGGAAGCUUUUUAUCCUGUUACUACCCUGUCGAUGUAGACAAGAUACAAAGGAUUCUACCAGCUCCUAUUUGGUUCACCCCUGAUGUUGAUGCAACAUGCUUGGCCUCCACUUUAGGUCUCUCCCUUUAGUUUUAAACUUAUUGCGGAUCAUGUAUGCAGCACUGGUGUUGGCUUAUUAUUAGUAUUUUUUUCUUUUAAGUAAACUCUAGGUUUCUGUUUAUGUAGCUCCAACAUCUGUGCUAAUUAGCUGAUGUCCUAAGUAAUUUGAUGUCGAGCCAGUUACUUUUCCAGUCCAUCUUACUCUUAAUUGUUUAUCCUGCAUUGUCUAAGAAUCCUCCUGGCAAGGUUUAUGUGACUUAGGCACCUUGUUCUUAGCAUAGGUAGCACCUUGUUCAUAAUUCCAUGUGGUAUUCAAGUGUUGUAUUUUAUUUGUGACAAGCUAAUAGUGGAUAGAGAUCAAAAAAGCACUGGAGCUCUUUCAUUGUGCAGGUCAACAACGUGUUCUACUGUAUGAUGUACACAGAGAGCUAUAAAAGCACAUGCUGAAGUAGAGAGGACUUGUAGAUGAGCAUGGCUAGUUUCAUAGCCACACAACAUGCGCCUGCUAAAAGGAUUUAUGCACGCGUAUGAGUUGUUUCAAUGAUUGCUGUCCUUAUAUAUGAAUAUGAGCCUUCUCCAACUCUGUACUACUUAACCAAGUUUGGUGGCCUUUAUCGAGAAACUGAAAGGCUGUCUAGUCGCAUGAUGAAAGCUACAAGUGAGGGAUAUAUCUCGCUCAAGUAUCUACUUGUCGAUGAACUGUAUUUGAGGUUCUUAAUGUAGCCAUUCAAUCAAUGCAAAUGAAAUGUAAGUGCGCUUCUUACUUGGUA